GUUUGAGUAGCGAGCAGAGCAGUAGACGCUAGUCGCCUAGAGUUCCGGCUACUGCCGCUCCGUCAGGCGCCGUUGCUCUUCCAAUGUUCCAAGCCGCGCUGCACCGCGCGCGCUGUGCAGAGCUUCAGAGAACCAGGUCGAGUGUUUGGUCGGGGGAGGAGCAGCCAUUGCAGGAGUCCUGUGCUCUUUGCAGCAGCAGCAGCAGCACCACCAGAAGGCAGGAACAAAUUUAAGGCGUAUAUAUGAUCAUACCUGGUAGACAGUUCCAAAUGCACCUUUACCAAGUUCUAGCUUAGGAGAGAAAUCAUUUGUGAUUUGCUUCAGAAAGCUUGCUGGUAUAUCCUUGGGCAAUGUGCUUAGAAGACUAGACCUGGUGCCAGUAGUCAUCUCUGACGAUUGAGAAGGUUGUGAUCUGAGCGACAGCAAGACAUAGCACAAGUUCAAAUCAAAGAAUAGUUGUAUCCCUCAAAGAUUCAGACUGAUCCAGGUUAAGCUGAAACUUUGAUUUCAGUGUUCAUAAUGCAUCCUAAGCUUUAGGAUUUAUUUCUUCCCCUCGAAUUAGAUAUGACAAAUGGUUCAGUACUAAGUUUUGUUCAAAUCAGAAUGCAGGUCAAAUGUGAUGAAUUAAGGAUAAAAGUUCUCUUUCAAAUGUGCGAUGCUACUACAGAUGUGAUGAAUUAAGGGUAACAGUGCAAGCGAAAACAAGCACAAGGCCUUGCAAAAUUCAUGUGAAAACCAGUGAGGACAAGAAGACUGACCUGGAAGGGAAAAGGCGGAGGAUGCAGAGCAGCAGAACGACUGGGAGAGACGGAUGAGUAUCUAUGCUAACUGGCGGGGAUGAAACGCGCUUCUUGGACGCGUCGCGGCCAUGGUGAAGAUAGGUACGACGCGGGUCAAUCUGACAAGUCAAUGGCCAGACGCGUUUCUGUCAGGAAUUUUUUUUUAUUCCAGAGUUCAAAAGUUCUGUUCAUUGUUCCGUAGAGUACACGGAGAUGAGAGAAAAAUUCCAUGGUGAAGCACGUUGCCAUACCUGAUGUUGUAUACUUGUAUAUGGACAUGAGCCGUGGCCAUGCGAAAUGGUGAAUGAAUUGCCUUGCAGUUUCAGAACUGCAGGGAUAUAUGGGCCCAUGUCCACAUAA